GACGAACGCUGGCGGCGUGCUUAACACAUGCAAGUCGAACGGGCCUGCCUGGCUUUGGUUGGGUGGGUGAGUGGCGAACGGGUGAGUAACACGUGAGUAACCUGCCCUCUUCUCUUGGAUAACUGCUUGAAAGGGCGGCUAAUACGGGAUGUUCUGGCUGCCUCGCAUGGGGUGGUUUGGAAAGAUUCGGCCUGGUUUUGGUUGUUUUGGUGGGGGAUGGGCUCGCGGCUUAUCAGCUUGUUGGUGGGGUGAUGGCCUACCAAGGCGGUGACGGGUAGCCGGCCUGAGAGGGUGGACGGUCACACUGGGACUGAGACACGGCCCAGACUCCUGCGGGAGGCAGCAGUGGGGGAUUUUGCACAAUGGGCGCAAGCCUGAUGCAGCGACGCCGCGUGAGGGAUGGAGGCCUUCGGGUUGUGAACCUCUGUCGCCGGUGAUGUAGGCUCUGCU
rnacentral:rRNA from 1 species